GGGGUUGGGGAUUUAGCUCAGUGGUAGAGCGCUUGCCUAGCAAGCGCAAGGCCCUGGGUUCGGUCCUCAGCUCCGAAAAAAAAAAAAAAAAAAAAAAAGACAAAAUAACAAAAAGACCAAAAAAAAACAAGGUAACUGGCACACACAACCUUU